rnacentral:rRNA from 1 species
CCUACGGGUGGCAGCAGUCGAGAAUCAUUCACAAUGGGGGAAACCCUGAUGGUGCGCCGCCGCGUGGGGGAAUGAAGGUCUUCGGAUUGUAAACCCCUGUCAUGUGGGAGCAAAUUAAAAAGAUAGUACCACAAGAGGAAGAGACGGCUAACUCUGUGCCAGCAGCCGCGGUAAUACAGAGGUAUCAAGCGUUGUUCGGAAUCACUGGGCGUAAAGCGUGCGUAGGCUGUUUCGUAAGUCGGGUGUGAAAGGCGCGGGCUCAACCCGCGGACGGCACAUGAUACUGCGAGACUAGAGUAAGGGAGGGGGAACCGGAAUUCUCGGUGUAGCAGUGAAAUGCGUAGAUAUCGAGAGGAACACUCGUGGCGAAGGCGGGUUCCUGGACAUUAACUGACGCUGAGGCACGAAGGCCAGGGGAGCGAAAGGGAUUAGAUACCCUUGUAGUC